AGCAGGGUAGCCAAACUUGGCCAAGCGGUGGGCCGUAAACCCACAUAAUAGAGGUUCAAAUCCCCUACCUGCCC
rnacentral:tRNA from 1 species